rnacentral:lncRNA from 1 species
UUUUAAAACAGAGUCUAACUGUCACGCUGUCCUCCUCAUACCACUUUUAAAACAGAGUCCAACUGUCACACUGUCCUCCUCAUACCACUUUUAAAACAGAGUCCAGCUGUCACGCUGUCCUCCUCAUACCACUUUUAAAACAGAGUCCACCUGUCAAGCUGUCCUCCUCAUACCACUUUUUUAUAACAGAGUCCAACUGUCACGCUGUCCUCCUCAUUCCACUUUUUAAAACAGAUCUAACUGUCACGCUGUCCUCCUCAUACCGCUUUUAAUACAGAGUCUAACUGUCACACUGUCCUCCUCAUACCACUUUUAAAACAGAGUCCAACUGUCACACUGUCCUCCUCAUACCACUUUUAAAACAGAGUCCAACUGUCACGCUGUCCUCCUCAUACCACUUUUUUAAAACAGAGUCUAACUGUCCUCCUCAUACCACUUUUUUAUAACAGUCCAGCUGUCACGCUGUCCUCCUCAUACCACUUUUAAAACAGAGUCUAACUGUCACACUGUCCUUCUCAUACCACUUUUAAAACAGAGUCUAACUGUCACACUGUCCUCCACAUACCACUUUUAAAACAGAGUCUAACUGUCACGCUGUCCUCCUCAUACCACUUUUAAAACAGAGUCUAACUGUCACGCUGUCCUCCUCAUACCACUUUUUUAUAACAGAGUCCAGCUGUCACACUGUCCUCCUCAUACCACUUUUAAAACAGAGUCCAACUGUCACGCUGUCCUCCUCAUACCACUUUUAAAACAGAGUCCAACUGUCACGCUGUCCUCCUCAUACCACUUUUAAAACAGAGUCCAGCUGUCACACUGUCCUCCUCAUACCACUUUUAAAACAGAGUCUAACUGUCACACUGUCCUCCUCAUACCACUUUUAAAACAGAAUCUAACUGUCACACUGUCCUCCUCAUACCACUUUUAAAACAGAGUCUAACUGUCACGCUGUCCUCCUCAUACCACUUUUAAAACAGAGUCCAACUGUCACGCUGUCCUCCUCAUACCACUUUUUUAAAACAGAGUCCAGCUGUCACGCUGUCC